UGUAAGCGUAUACCAAAGUUGUUGCAGUUAAAACGCUCGUAGUCGGAAUUUGGCAGUUCCGGAUGUGUGCACGUCGUGUGCGCACUUCGCGGGGAUUGCUUUUGUGGUCUUGCGUAGGAUGAGGCACUUUUAUUAGUGAACGUCCUCACGCAACCACUUUUUACUGUGAGAAAAUCAGAGUGCUCAAAGCAGGCAUUUGCCGUGAAUGUAUUAGCAUGGAAUAAUAGAAUAGGACUUGGUUCUAUUUUGUUGGUUUGUUGGGACUGAGUAAUGAUUAAGAGGGACAGUUGGGGGCAUUUGUAUUUCGGUGCUAGAGGUGGAAUUCUUAGAUUACCGAAAGACAAACUGCUACGAAAGCGUCUGCCAAGGAUGUUUUCAUUGA
rnacentral:rRNA from 1 species